AGACGUAGGGGGCGAGCGUUGUCCGGAAUUACUGGGCGUAAAGGGCGUGUAGGCGGCCUUUCAAGUCGGCUGUGAAAUACCCCGGCUCAACCGGGGGGGUGCAGUCGAAACUGGGGGGCUUGAGUGCAGGAGAGGAGGGUGGAAUUCCCGGUGGAGCGGUGAUAUGCGUAGAUAUCGGGAGGAACACCGGUGGCGAAGGCGACCUUCUGGCCUGUUACUGACGCUGAGGCGCGAAAGCCGGGGGAGCAAACAGGAUUAGAUACCCUGGUAGUCCCGGCCGUAAACGCUGGGUACUAGGUGUAGGGGGCUUUGAUGCCUUCUGUGCCGUAGUUAACGCAUUAAGUACCCCGCCUGGGGAGUACGAUCGCAAGGUUGAA
rnacentral:rRNA from 1 species